UACGUAGGGGGCAAGCGUUGUCCGGAUUUAUUGGGCGUAAAGAGCGUGUAGGCGGUUUGGUAGGUCCGUUGUGAAAACUCGAGGCUCAACCUCGAGACGCCGAAUGGAAACCAUCAGACUAGAGUCCGGAAGAGGAGAGUGGAAUUCCUGGUGUAGCGGUGAAAUGCGCAGAUAUCAGGAAGAACACCCGUGGCUAAGGCGGCUCUCUAGUACGGUACUGACGCUGAGAGGCGAAAGCUGGGGGAGCGAACAGG
rnacentral:rRNA from 1 species